ensembl:lncRNA
UUUUUUUUUUUUUUUUUGGCUGCACCCAUGGCAUGUGGAAGUUCCCAGGCCAGGGAUUGAACCCAUGCCACAGCAGCGACCUGAGUCACUGCAGUGACAACACCAGAUCCUUAACCUGGAGAGCCACAUGGGAAUGCCUCACUUGGUAUACUUUUGAAAUUAAUUUAUAUAAUUUAUCUGUAGUUUCUUUUCAAUGGUAAGUGGUAUUCUAUUUUUUCCCCCUUUUAAAGGCCGCUCCUGUGGCAUAUGGAAGUUCCCAGGCUAAAGGUCGAAGGAGAGCUGCAGUUGCCAGCCUAUGCCACAGACCCAGCAACACGGGAUUCAAACCACAUCUGCAACAUAGGCCGUGGCUCACCGCAAUGCCAGAUCCUUAACCUGCUGAGUGAGGCCAGGGAUCAAACCCAUAUCCUCAUGGAUACCAGUCAGGUUCUUAACCCUCUGAGCCCCAAUGGUAACUCCCAGUAGCAUUCCAUUGUAAGGAUAUAACACCAUUUAUUUAUCCUCUCAUCAGUUGAUAAAUAUCUGGGUUACUUACAAUUUGGGGCUAUCAUGAAUAAGGCUGCUAUAAAUAUUCAUGCACAAGUUUUUGUGUGAACAUAUACUUUGUUCUCUACCAAAAAUGACAUAUUUCUCUGUGGUGCUUCCUGCUAUUCCAUGCAAAAAAUAAGUAUUCUCUUGCUAUUGAUUUACUAGAGAAGCCUGUCUUCCCCACACAAUGAUUUGUGAGACACAGAUUAGAAAAUUGCACGAAGUCACAAAACAUAAUUAAGUCUUUUGUGUGUAACUUUCCCUUACUACACGCCAAGCAUUAGGCAGAGCCUGGCGUAAGCAUUUUGUCAUGUAUCUCUCACAGCAGCCUUGGGAGGAGACAGUGCUGUUAUUCUCAUUUCCUACUGGGGAAGCUGGACUCAGGGAGGCGAAGGGAAUGACCCAAGGUACACCCAGCAACAGGGUCCACCAGGCGUAACGUACAUCCCAAGGCUCGGGCUUGAGGCCUGGCUCCACAACUAAUUUGCCAUAGGCUUUCCCUGGGCCUCAGUCUGACGGUUCACUCAGCAUCACAGAUCUCUGAGACCCUUCUGGAAAAUCCUGGCUUCAAAUGCUCUGCUCCCACAAAUAAUCAAAACGUCCAGGAAAUACCAACAUUUCACCCAGCCACAGCAGAAAGGCUGGACAAGAAACCCAGCCUGCAAAGCUAGGUGUAAAGUUUUCUGACCUAAUUGCUGACCCCACACUACUUUCAAGUUAGCCUGGGUUUAGGGAAAUCCUUUAAGGGGUCUACCAAAGUAGACAGAACCUUGAUCCUUGAGAAGCCAAGGCAACAAGGACAACAAAAGCAGCCAGUAAAUGUCUCUGCGGAAAGCAGAGGGGGAGAUUUAGUUUUGCUCUAGGGAGGAAGGGGGUGAGGAGAGACAGAUGAGCCUGGAAAUGGAGGGGAGAAGAGCAGAUGAUGGAAGGCUGGAUACUGUUGGGCCAUGACAAGCCUUCCCGUAGCUGAGGCACCAGAGGAUGCCCAUGGAGAGAGAAGCCCUCUGUGUUUCUGUGAAGUAUGGCUUCCCUCUUACCCCCCUGCAGUAAAUGCUUACUUGACUUGUAUUAGGCAAAGGGGGAGGGGAGACUGAGGGGAGACACUGGGAGAGGUGAAAGUGGAAGGGACUGAAAUGUGAAGACUACAGAACCAGGGCACGCUUGUAGGGUAAGCAAGUUCGAGGCCAAGAUGAGGGCUGAGAAUGUCUAGCAAUCUGCAGGCAUCCUGAGAGGGGCUGGGGACUUCCCCAGAGGACAGACUGGAAUUUCUGCUGGUCUCAUGAAGACCCAGGGCUGGAAGAUCUGGCUGCCAUAGAACACUUGGGUGAGUCUGGAAUGACUGAGAACACAGGAGCUAGAAGAAUACCUGGAGAUGCACCUUCCAGAGGCAGGGCAGCUGGGAGGGGUUAGGAACAAAGGCUUGGGAAUCAGAUUGACUGAAUUUAAAAUUCUAUUCCUACUGGGGAAAUAACUAUUCAAAAAUAAUAAUAAUAAUAAUAAUAAUAAUAAAUCCUAUUUCCUAGGAGUUCCCUUGGGGCACAGCAGGUUAAGGAUCUGGCAAUGUCACUGCAGCAGUUUGGAUCACUGCUAUGGCAAAGGUUUGAUCCCUGGCCCAAGAACUUUCACGUUUCAGAUGGGACCAAGUAAAUAAUAAAGAAUGGGUUUUUUUGGGUUGUNNNNNNNNNNNNNNNNNNNNNNNNNNNNNNNNNNNNNNNNNNNNNNNNNNNNNNNNNNNNNNNNNNNNNNNNNNNNNNNNNNNNNNNNNNNNNNNNNNNNNNNNNNNNNNNNNNNNNNNNNNNNNNNNNNNNNNNNNNNNNNNNNUCUGCGACCUACACCACAGCUCACGGCAACGCCGGAACCCUGACCCACUGAGCAAGGGCAGGGAUCGAACCCUCAACCUCAUGGUUCCUAGUCGGAUUCGUUAACCACUGUGCCACGACGGGAACUCCAUAAAGAAUGUUUUCAACAAGGUGAGAGAGAAAGAACACAAUUUAAAAAAAUUCUACCCCCUACUAGUGAGAAAAAGCAAUAUUUGAUUUUAUUUAAAAAAAUUUUUUGGAGUGCCCAUCAUGGCUCAGUGGUUAACAAACCCAACUAGCAUCCAUGAGGACUCAGUUUUGAUCCCUGGCCUCACUCUGUGGGUUAAGGAUCUGGCGUUGCCAUGGGCUGUGGUGUAGGUCUCAGACGUGGCUCAAAUUCUGCCUUGCUAUGGCUGUAGCUUAGGCCAGUGGCUACAGCUCUGAUUGGACUCCCUAGCCUGGAACCCUCCACAUUCCAAAGGUGCUGCCCUAAAAAGACAAAAAGACCCCCCCCAAAAAAUUUUUUUUUCUUCAUUUUACGGCCACACCUGUGGCAUAUGGAAGUUCCUAAGCCAGGGGUUGAAUCGGAGCUGCAGCUGGGGCCUCGCCACAGCCACGGCAUCACUGGAUCUGAGCCACAUCUGCAACCUACACUGCACCUUGCAUCAUUGCUGGAUCUUUAACCCACUGAACAAGGCCAGGGAUCAAACCUACAUCCUUACAGAGACAACAUCAGGUUCUUAAUCUGCUAAGCCACAAAGGGAACAACAAAGUGGAACAUUUUAUAAUGAUGAAAGAAUCAAUUCAUCAGAAAGAUAUAAGAAUUUUAAACAUAUAUAUACCUGAUGAAAGAGCACCAAAACAAGAAAAUAAGUGAAAACCAAGAGAAUCGAAGGGAGAAGAAGACAAUUCAACAAUAAGAGUUGGGCACUUGAGCAUUCUCUUGUGGUAGUGUAGGUUAAGGAUCCAGCAUUGUCGCUGCUGUGGCUUUGGUCACUACUAUGGUGCAGGCUCAAUGCCUGGCACAGGAACUUCCACGUGCUGUAGGCGUAGCCAAAAAAAAGUAUCUAGGCACCUCAAUGACCAACAUUCAAUAAUGGAUGGAAUAACCAGGCAAAAGAUCAACAAGGAAACAGAAGACUUGAACAAUACUAUAAACCACCUAGACCUAAUAGACACCUACAGAACUCUCCACCCAACAAUCAUAAUACACACUCUUCUCAAGUGCACAUGGAACUUCUCUACAAUAGACCAUACGCUUGGCCAUAAAACAAACCUCAGUAGGGAGUUCCCAUGGCUCAGUGGUUAACGAACCUGACUAGUAUCCAUGAGGAUACAGGUUCGAUCCCUGGCCUCACUAAGUAGGUUAAGGAUCUGGCAUUGACAUGAGCUGUGGUGUAGGUCGCAGACGCAGCUCAGAUUCCAAGUUGCUGUGGGUGUGGUGUAAGCUGGCAGCUACAACUCCAUUGGACCCCUAGCCUGGGACCUCCAUAUGCCCCAGGUAUGGCCCUAAAAAGAUAAAAAACAAAAACAAAAAAAAAGGGGGUUCCCUCGUAGUACAGCAGGUUAGGGAUCUGGUGUUGUCACUGCAGCAGCUCAGGUCACUGCUGUGGCAGAGGUUCAAUUUAUCCAUCACCUGGGAACUUCCACAUGCUUCAGGUACAGCCAAAAACCAACCAAAUAAACCUCAAUAUAAUUAAAAGGACUGAAAUAAUACAAAGCUGUUCUCUGAGCACAAUGCAGUGAAAUUAGAAAACAAUGACUGAAAGAAAUUUGGGGAAAUCACAAAUAUAUGGAAACUAAACAUAUUCCUAAAUAAUCAACGAAUGAUGCAAAGAAAUAACAAGGGAAAUUUCUUAAUAUAAAAUGAAUGAAAACAUCAAAACUUAUGGGAUGUAGCUGCAACAGUGCUUGAAGAGAAACUCAUAGCUGUAAAUGCUUUUUUUGAAAAAGAAGAGAUUUCAAAUAAUAACCUAAAAGAAGUGAACAUUAAACAUAAAUCAAACAGAGGAAAGAAAUAAUAAAGAUUAAAGCAGAAAUUAAUGAAAUAGAGAACAGGAAAACAAUAGAGAAAAUUAACAAAAAUUAAGAUGGUUCUUUGAAAAGAUUGUUAAAGACUGACAAACCCUCAGCUAGACUGACCAAGACAAAAGGGAGAAGACUUAAAUUACUAGACUCAGAAACAGAAGAGGAGACAUUACUACUGACCUUACAGAAAUAAAAUCCUAUCUCUUCCAAUGACCCGAGUGUAAUCACAGGCAGGUUACUUGAACUAUCUGUGCUUCCAUUUCCUCUAUUCAAAAAGAUACCAGUUUCUGGAGUUCCUGUCAUGGCUCAUUGGUUAACAAAUCUGACUAGGAACCAUGAGGUUGCGGGUUCAAUCCCUGGCCUUGCUCAUCAUGCUCAAUUAAUCACAGCCACUUCUCUAGUUGAUAACAUCAAUCUUUUCCUUUCCCUCUACAUCCAGUCCUUCAGCCCAUCUGAUUUUUUGGCUCUACUUUUAAAAUAUAUUCCAGAAUCGAUAGUUUCUCACCUUGUCCAUCCCACCCCUAGUUAGUCCAAGUCACCAGUCUCUCUCUUUGGGUUAGGACAACAGCCUAGUUGUCUCUAUUCCUACCUCCUCCUUCAGUCUGUUCUCUACACAACCACCAGAGGCAUGUUUUUAAAAUGGGAUGAUGCUGGAGUUCAUGGUGGCCUAGUGGUUAAGGACUCAGCAUUGUCACUGCUGUUGCUCAAGUUACUGCUGUGGCUGGGGUACAGUCCCUGGCCCUUGAACUUUCGCAUGCUGAGGGGAUGACCAAAUAAAUAAAUUUUUUUUUUAAUUUUUAAAAUGUAAUGAUGCUUCAGGAGGGGUUUCUCAGGGCUACCCUGAGAGGCUGUCUCCCGGGCUUAAGUCCUAAUUUCACCCCAAAUAAAACUUAACUCUCAACUUAAAAAAAAAAAAAAAAGGAAUGAUGGCUCAGAAAACUAAAUAUAGAACUACCAUUUGACCAGCAAUCCCACUCCUGGGUAUAUAUCCAGACAAAACUUUCAUUGAAAAAGAUACAUGCACCCCUAUGUUCAUUCACAAUAGCCAAGACAUGGAAACAACCUAAAUGUCCAUCGAAAGAUGAAUGGAUUAAGAAAAUGUGGUAUAUAUACACAAUGGAAUACUACUCUGCCAUAAGAAAGAACAAAAUAAUGCCAUUUGCAGCAACAUGAAUGGAGCUAUAGACUCUCAUACUAAGUGAAGUUUCACAUCAGAAAAAGAAAGACAAAUACUGUAUGAUAUCACAUAUUUGGAAUCUAAUAUAUGGCAUAAAUGAGCUUUCCACAGAAAAGAAAUGUAUGGACUUGGAAAACAGACUCAUGGUUGCCAAGGGGAAGGGGGAGGGAGUGAGAUGGACUGGGAGUUUGGAGUUAGUAGGUACCAACUACUGCAUUUGGAAUGGAUAAGCAAUGAGAUCCUGUUGUAUAGCACAGGGAACUAUACCUAGUCACUUAUGAUGUAACACGAUAGAGGAUAAUGUGAGAAAAAGAAUGUAUACAUAUAUAUGUACAUCUGGGUCACUUUGUUGCACAGCAGAAAUUGAUAUAACAUUUAAAUCAACUAUAAUAGAAAAAAUAAAAUUUUUUUUAAAAAAAGUAAUGAUACUUGAGUUCCCAUUGUGGCUCAGUGGUAACAAACCCAACUGGUAUCCAUGAGGAGGCAGGUUUCAUCCCUGGCCCAUUUCAGUGGGUUAAGAAGCCAGCACUGCCAUGAGCUGUGGUGUAGGUCACAGACAUGACUCAGAUCUGGCAUUGCUGUGGCUGUGGUGUAGGCGGGCAACUACAGCUCCAAUAGACCACUAGGCUGAGACCUUCCAUAUGUUGUGGGUGUGGCCCUAAAAAGACCAAAAAAAAAAAGUAAUGAUGCUUAUGUAUCCAUCUUCUGCUCUCAACGCUCCAAUGACAUCCCACUGUGUAUGGAACAAAAUACACACUCCUUGCUUGGGCCCACCAGGCCCAGCAUCAUCUGGCUCCGGGUACCACUCUCCCCUUUGCCUACAGGGCUCCAGCCACACUAUUCUUGUUAUUCCUCAAACUCACUGACUCAGUGACAGUGUACUUCUAUCUCAGAGCUUUUGCUCUUGGUAUUUCCUCUGCCCACAAUUCCCCAUCUCUAAAGACCCAUGCAUGCUGGGGUUCCCAAUUUAUUGGGGUUCCCAAUUAUUAAUUUAUUCUACUCAUUGUCACCUCCUGAGAUGGUGCUCCUCAGACCACUAUAUCUACAGCAGCUCAACCUCUCACUCUCUCUGCCUUACUCUGCUCUAUUUUUCUUCAAUGGACUUUUCCCUGUGCGGUAUUACCUACUUAGUGCCUGUCUCCCUUCACUAGAAUGUAAUCUCCAUGAGGCACAGGCUUUACUUCACACAUGCUUUCACCUCCAGUGCCUGAUCGGAGCUGGGCCUAGACUAGAGUCUGGCACGUAGAACGUGCUUAAUAAGUAUCUCUUGAAACAGAAGAAAAAGCUCAGUAAUAGGAUUCCUAGACAAAUGGGACUUUAAUUUUUUCUUUUCUUUUCUUUUUUUUUUCUUUUUUUUUCUUUUGGCCAUGCCUACAGCAUGUGCGAGUUCUGGGGGUCAGGGAUAGAACUCACACCAUAGCAGUGACAGUACUGGAUCCACAACCUGCUCCACCAUAAGGAAACUCCAACAAAUGGGACUUUCUCUUCAGUGUAGGAUAAAGGUGACAUCUCAACCCAGAGGGAAAAAAGAAGACAAGGCAACACAGGGUGAUGGGACCAUUGGGAAACCAUGUGGGGGAAAAAAAUGAAGUUGAAGACGAUGGACUUAUCACAGGUAUGUAACUUGGCUUCCUCCUGAAACUCUACUUUCAAAAUACAUAAGACCACAAGAAAGAGAAGAACCGGAGAAGGGACCGCAACAAAAAAAUUGAGGAUAGAAAAUAAAUGGACAAGUACUAUCAGAUGGCCAAAGAAAGCAGGCAAUAAAAAAGGGGGAAAUUUUAACCUGAUUUAUAACACAGAAUCCUCAAAACAGACUCAGAAAUUGGUGGCACCUCUGGAAGAGGACAUGAAGAUGAGGCUAGGGUUGGGGGCUGCUAUAGAAGGGAGCUUGGUAGAAGAGGGCUUAAAAACAAUAAAAAUAGGGAGUUUCCAUUGUGACUCAGUAGGUUAAGAAUCUGACUAGUACCCAUGAGGAUGCAGGUUCAAUCCCUGGCC